CAGUAGCCGCGGGAAUACGGAUGGAGCUAGCGUUAUUCGGAAUUACUGGGCGUAAAGCGCACGUAGGCGGCUUUGUAAGUUAGAGGUGAAAGCCUGGAGCUCAACUCCAGAAUUGCCUUUAAGACUGCCGAGCUAGCAGGUGAGAGAGGUAAGUGGAAUUCCGAGUGUAGAGGUGAAAUUCGUAGAUAUUCGGAAGAACACCAGUGGCGAAGGCGGCUUACUGGCUCAUACUGGACGCUGAGGUGCGAAAGCGUGGGGAGCAAACAGGUUUAGAUACCCGCGUAGUCCCUGUCUCUUAUAC
rnacentral:rRNA from 1 species